rnacentral:lncRNA from 1 species
GUUGCUGCAAUGGAAUUCUUAUCUUUCAAGCCUGUUGGCUUUUUCUGAUCAUCUUCAGAAGCAAACAAAGCUAGUCCUAGACGAGACAAGAACUGUUAGCAUGUAUGAUAUUUCUUAGUAGGAAUUACAUCAUCUUUUAUUACCUAAUUUUUGCGUGUGGCUAUAAAUUAAAUGUUAUACUUUGUGGCAGAAAAUGUUAUUUUAUGAAAGUUGGACUUAGUAAAUUAUCGUGGAUUCUAGUUUAAAAUGCCUGACAGACUCAAAAUGUUUUAUGAAAAUAGACUCAGAUUGCAAGAAGAACGUGAACAAAUGGCUAAGGAGUUGCAAAGGAAUAUAGAACAUAGUUGCAAAGGAAGUUGGAAAAAGAGUUGCAAAAGAAUUUGGAGGAUGUGCAUGAACACGUGAACGCAGAAGUAGAUAAGAGGAUCCAAGAGCAAUUGGCUAUUAUCAUAGCCAAAAUGCAACAGGUACUGUUAAUAUUUUGUACUCUUCUUGACAAUUCUUCCUUCUUAUUUUCUUUUCAUCUUCUCCUUCUUUAAUUUUUGUUUUCUUGAGAAUAAGCUAUUGGCUUGUUAUAUGUUCAUGUCAAUUCUGGAUUUGUCAACAAGGCCUAUGAAAUUGUAUUCUAGUUUUAUAUCCUGG